GCCGUUAGCUCAAUUCGGUAGAGCAGCUGACUCUUAAUCAGCGGGUUGGAGGUUCGAGUCCUCCACGGCUCA
rnacentral:tRNA from 1 species